AGCAGACGACCGCGCGCUGGAGCGAGACGACGGUAAAAAUGGCCGCGCGGCUCUGGUGCUAACUACUUACAUUUAUAUUUCUCGCGCAUCUUCUGGUAGUUCUCGUACAUGACCUCGCGCGAUAUGGGGCCAUGGUGGAAGUCACGGACGCCGAGGCCGCCGAGGCAGCCGACAUGGGAGCCGGCCACGCGAGUCAACCAAGAGGAGAGGAGAUUUUCGACAACGAACUGCGAUGCUACGGCGACGGCGAGGGUCCUCCUGUGCAGCAUCACGGACGAUUGGCGGGUAUGCGGUAUGCGCCGACGGCAACGGUGCUCGACGAUUGGCGCUCCACUCGGCGGGAAGUUCAACUCGAUUCCACCACCCGAACAACACCCCCUCGCUCGUCCUUUCACCAGCCCCGCGGGUAUUCUCACGCGCGAGCCGACGACGCUCUGUCGAACAACAUUUGAACACUGUACCUUUUCUCUGUAGCCGAUUGUAAGUACGCGAUUAUCUGUCUCUGGUUCGCAACCAAGUAUUCGUCGUAUCGGUCACCACCAACUGCCCGCUAUUUUUACACCGACCGCGUUCCGCUCGCGGUUGUCGAAGUUCGAGCGCGUUCGGGCCGACCACCAGCUGCGUGUGCUGCGUGAGGCUGACUGUCACUGGCCGUUCGAACGUUUUAUUCUACGCCGGUAGGGGUUGAGGCAGCGCGCGAUCAUGCCACUCGAAAUAGUCGUCACGGAUCACGGAGCUAAUGCUUUGCAGGGCGAGUCGCCGAUGACAAGCUACAGAGACGGACAAAAGAUUCAGACGAAAAGUAGGUAUAUUGUUAGAUGUUAUGAUAUACUAGGUUAAUAUACUAGGUAUAUAUACUAGUAUACUAGGAAAGGUUAUAGGCAAAUAUAUAUGAAAAGGAAAGGAAAUAUAGCAAUUGUUAGUUUAGUGAUGUCUAGGUAUAUAUACUAGGUAUAAUAUACUAGGAAAGGUUAUAGGCAAAUAUAUAUGAAAAGGAAAGGAAAUAUAGAAAUUGUUAGUUUAAUGAUGUUUUGUUUACAAGCUGAAGGAAAAUUAGGAAGAAUUUACUGUAUUUCGUUUCAUAAGAAUUCAUCAAACAUCUAUUUCUUGUCCUUUCUUAUGUUUAUGAUUUUGAAUGAUUCUGAAUAAAUAUUGCCAUUAAUUAAA